GCAUCUCCCACAGUGACUGGUUGGUGAAACGGUUGAAGUAGUAAGGGCGAUUCUCCCGUUUGCUCCAGCACUUCUCCCAGCCAGCCUGCACCAGCUCAUCUAGGAGAGAGGAAAAGUAUCAGCAUAAGAGCAGUCCCGAACAGCAACCCUGCUGCUCCAGCCCCCAUCGCUGUCACAGCACAUGCUAAACUGGGGGUGGGAAGGGGGAAAUAUCAUCCCCAAAUCCCCUCUACCACUCCGACAGGCUCCUUACCCUAAAUUUUCUCCUCUCCCUCUCUGCUGCCACAGGGCUCCAGAAUCCUAUCCCUGACCCCCUAAACAGCAGAACAAGUACCUGGCAGGUCCUGCACCAGUCGGAUGGGUUUCGGGGAGCUGGGCUGGUUCUGGUUAGAGGUACCAGACAGGAAAAUGGAAGCAGAGAGAGAGUGAUUCUUCUCAACUCACUGAAGACAGCGUGGCAGAGCAUACUACAAACCCAGGUCCCCUUAUACCCAGUCCUUCUCUCUCCAGUGGACCAUGCUGAUGGGAAUAUUUGGAGGAGCAGUUUGGCCUGUAUCUCACCAAUGCUGGGACUUAAAGUGGAUCCAAAAUAACCAUUA